UUGAUGGACUGUACCAAGUAUACGACUUCUACUUCACUACUCUUGCUGUUUUUGUUUUGUUUUUUUAACCUACUCUUGCUGUUUGUUGGCUCAGACACUGAGCAGUGAUAAGCAAACGACCACAAGAAAUCUGUUUUCCCGGUACAGUAUCUGCUAGCUAUGUACGCCCAUGGCGUUUUGGUAUACCAUCGGUGUACCUGGGUAUCCGAUCGCGAUUCUUAUGCCUUCCCUUUUUAAUCAGG
rnacentral:lncRNA from 1 species